UCCUUCCUUGUCUAGGGGAGCUUAGUGUGCCAAUGAACGUUUAGUGAGGUCACUUUUGCUAACACCCUGUAAAAUUAAACCCGCAUCCUUUUUCUCUAUAAAGGGGAAAUGAGUUGCAAUUUUUGAAACU